AAGUCGUAACAAGGUUUCCGUAGGUGAACCUGCGGAAGGAUCAUUAUUGAGAUAGUCAGAAGCCUAUUAGGUCACCCAAACGCUUGAAAUAUUAGCCGGAAUGGGCAGUAAUAGCAAUCCGGCAUGACCGUUUGAAUCCAAGGGCACGCGUAUCCACCCGCUGUAUAUAUACUCUGUUGCAUUUCCGGGCGUCAUACCCCCGGGAGAGAACCCAAAUCUCAUUGAAUUUUAUGGAACGUCUGAGUACUAUAUAAUAGAUUAAAA
rnacentral:misc_RNA from 1 species